UUUCAUUAGCCACCUCCCAUCUUCAGAAAAAGCGUUCUCUCAUGAGGACAGCGGAGCAGUCCCACUCAAGCUGCUGUGCAUCACAUCCACAGCGCCAGGUCACAUCGAGAGCUCCUGUGCCCCCUCGCCAUCCGUGAC
ensembl:misc_RNA Gm28030 predicted gene, 28030